UACGGAGGGUGCAAGUGUUGUCCGGAUUCAUUGGGUUUAAAGGGUGCGCAGGCGGGCCAUUAAGUCAGGGGUGAAAGACGGUUGCUCAACAAUCGCAGUGCCUUUGAUACUGGUGGUCUUGGGUAACCUUGAGGUAGGCGGAAUGGGUGGUGUAGCGGUGAAAUGCAUAGAUACCACCCAGAACUCCGACUUGCGAAGGCAGCCUACUGGAGGUUUACCGACGCUCAGGCACGAAAGCGUGGGGAGUCAAACAGGA
rnacentral:rRNA from 1 species